ensembl:lncRNA
GCGCUUCCAAAAUGCGGCAGAACGUUUCAUCGCAGAGCAUCCACGCUGAACCAGACGUUGAACUACAUUUCCCUACGACUGAGGGUAAAUGGGCGUGUAGAUACGGUGACCGUUUCCGCAUAAAUAGCGCCCUCUCCCGCUGUAUCAUCCUCUUUCGGCUGCUCUCCUCGCUCAGAGGUACGUGCCGAAAUGGCUCCCGAGCCGCAACAGAAUCCAACUUAAUCAACCAAUUCUAAUUGUCAUCUGCAGUAUCUAAUCACCUUUUCCUCUUCCUUCUAUAGACUUAUCUCCACACGAUGAGAGCCAAGGUAAGCCAAAUAAAAUAAAUUGUUUUUUUCGGUCGUCCUUAAAAUGGUUCCUGACAAUGGACCCUGCAGUCAUCAGGGUACCGCUGUCUCCCCUUUUACUAGUUACGAAUGGCGUAUUAGUAUUACUUUUAUUUGCUUAACAUAGCCGACGGUCAGAAUGAGCCUUUUAACAUUAUUAAUACCUGUGCAUAUCUUUGAACUAACCUGUUUUAUUCAUGUUAAUAUGAAGCUACCCGUUGUGGUUGCACUGGGCCCGCCUCGCUGCUUUAGGCUAACUGUUAGCUUCAGAUAGCUCAUACCAACAUCACAUGCAGGACCUCAAUGCACCCUGUCGUUUGAGGCGUACAUUUAAGAUUUUAUAUUAAAGGUUUUGGUUGGCCAUAGGCGGCAGAGGAUUUCUGCUCCAUAACACUGUAUGUCCAUAACAUCACUCCCUGUUACUGUAACAGUGAUAGGGAGUCAUGUGAUAUGUUAUGUUAUAGUAACUUACUAUAACUUGCCUAUAACACGGUGUUGUGAACAUUUCUUAAUCACACGGCCUGUCCAUAAGAUCUUGUUUAAAGACACAAUAACACUUGUCUUUAACACUGUUACUAUAGCUUGUCUUCACGGGGUGAUGCCUAACGUGUGCUGUUUUUGUUUUUCAGUGGAGGAAGAAGCGCAUGCGCAGACUGAAGCGUAAGAGGAGGAAGAUGAGGCAGAGGUCAAAGUAGACGCCCUCUCCCAGCAGCUGUUCCUGUCCUGUGUGGUGAAGCGGUGAUCGGGCCAGGCGUCCAGAGUGGAAGCAGCAUGCGUGGAGCCAGUCUUCAAGAAAGAAUACGGCCCAGCGCUGGAUUGACACACUGACCCUGGACCAGCAGAUGUGGAUCUCUGCGGGACGAACCAAUCUUUUAACACCAGAACCAAAGCUGUUUUUAACGCCAUAAUAAACUUUGGUUACCACAUAACUGAAUCUGUGUGAUACUUGCUCAUUCGACAAAUAAGCCCCAGUCAAGAGUUUGGCUCACGGAGAAUAAUUGCGUUUCAAUUCUAUCCAGAGCAACUUGUUGCAUUUGUCAGUAAAGUGUCUACAGUAAGGAUGCUCACAGAAAGUGCCAAGAACUUAUGGCUAUUGGCUAGGUUAACCAAUAACUAGGAGCAUGGGUACCAUUUCAAUUGAGUGACGGGACAUGCUAGAGU